ACAAUAUUCGGACGACAGUCUAUCGAGCAAUAGCAUCCGCUCGGUGAAAGACCUUCCCUGUGUCGC
rnacentral:pre_miRNA from 1 species